GGGUUGUGAGGUUAAGCGACUAAGCGUACACGGUGGAUGCCCUGGCAGUCAGAGGCGAUGAAGGGCGUGCUAAUCUGCGAUAAGCGCCGGUAAGGUGAUAUGAACCGUUAUAACCGGCGAUACCCGAAUGGGGAAACCCAGUGUGACUCGUCACACUAUCAUUAACUGAAUCCAUAGGUUAAUGAGGCGAACCGGGGGAACUGAAACAUCUAAGUACCCCGAGGAAAAGAAAUCAACCGAGAUUCCCCCAGUAGCGGCGAGCGAACGGGGAGGAGCCCAGAGCCUGAAUCAGCAUGUGUGUUAGUGGAAGCGUCUGGAAAGGCGCGCGAUACAGGGUGACAGCCCCGUACACAAAAGCGCAUGUGCUGUGAGCUCGAUGAGUAGGGCGGGACACGUGGUAUCCUGUCUGAAUAUGGGGGGACCAUCCUCCAAGGCUAAAUACUCCUGACUGACCGAUAGUGAACCAGUACCGUGAGGGAAAGGCGAAAAGAACCCCGGCGAGGGGAGUGAAAAAGAACCUGAAACCGUGUACGUACAAGCAGUGGGAGCACAGGUUUACCUGUGUGACUGCGUACCUUUUGUAUAAUGGGUCAGCGACUUAUAUUCUGUAGCAAGGUUAACCGAAUAGGGGAGCCGUAGGGAAACCGAGUCUUAACCGGGCGUUAAGUUGCAGGGUAUAGACCCGAAACCCGGUGAUCUAGCCAUGGGCAGGUUGAAGGUUGGGUAACACUAACUGGAGGACCGAACCGACUAAUGUUGAAAAAUUAGCGGAUGACCUGUGGCUGGGGGUGAAAGGCCAAUCAAACCGGGAGAUAGCUGGUUCUCCCCGAAAGCUAUUUAGGUAGCGCCUCGUGAAUUCAUCUCCGGGGGUAGAGCACUGUUUCGGCUAGGGGGCCAUCCCGGCUUACCAACCCGAUGCAAACUGCGAAUACCGGAGAAUGUUAUCACGGGAGACACACGGCGGGUGCUAACGUCCGUCGUGAAGAGGGAAACAACCCAGACCGCCAGCUAAGGUCCCAAAGUCAUGGUUAAGUGGGAAACGAUGUGGGAAGGCCCAGACAGCCAGGAUGUUGGCUUAGAAGCAGCCAUCAUUUAAAGAAAGCGUAAUAGCUCACUGGUCGAGUCGGCCUGCGCGGAAGAUGUAACGGGGCUAAACCAUGCACCGAAGCUGCGGCAGCGACACUGUGUGUUGUUGGGUAGGGGAGCGUUCUGUAAGCCUGUGAAGGUGGCCUGUGAGGGUUGCUGGAGGUAUCAGAAGUGCGAAUGCUGACAUAAGUAACGAUAAAGCGGGUGAAAAGCCCGCUCGCCGGAAGACCAAGGGUUCCUGUCCAACGUUAAUCGGGGCAGGGUGAGUCGACCCCUAAGGCGAGGCCGAAAGGCGUAGUCGAUGGGAAACGGGUUAAUAUUCCCGUACUUGGUGUUACUGCGAAGGGGGGACGGAGAAGGCUAUGUUGGCCGGGCGACGGUUGUCCCGGUUUAAGCGUGUAGGUGUGUGUUCCAGGUAAAUCCGGUUCACUUUAACACUGAGGCGUGACGACGAGGCACUACGGUGCUGAAGCAACAAAUGCCCUGCUUCCAGGAAAAGCCUCUAAGCAUCAGGUAACAUCAAAUCGUACCCCAAACCGACACAGGUGGUCAGGUAGAGAAUACCAAGGCGCUUGAGAGAACUCGGGUGAAGGAACUAGGCAAAAUGGUGCCGUAACUUCGGGAGAAGGCACGCUGACACGUAGGUGAAGUGAUUUACUCAUGGAGCUGAAGUCAGUCGAAGAUACCAGCUGGCUGCAACUGUUUAUUAAAAACACAGCACUGUGCAAACACGAAAGUGGACGUAUACGGUGUGACGCCUGCCCGGUGCCGGAAGGUUAAUUGAUGGGGUCAGCGCAAGCGAAGCUCCUGAUCGAAGCCCCGGUAAACGGCGGCCGUAACUAUAACGGUCCUAAGGUAGCGAAAUUCCUUGUCGGGUAAGUUCCGACCUGCACGAAUGGCGUAAUGAUGGCCAGGCUGUCUCCACCCGAGACUCAGUGAAAUUGAACUCGCUGUGAAGAUGCAGUGUACCCGCGGCAAGACGGAAAGACCCCGUGAACCUUUACUAUAGCUUGACACUGAACAUUGAGCCUUGAUGUGUAGGAUAGGUGGGAGGCUUUGAAGUGUGGACGCCAGUCUGCAUGGAGCCGGCCUUGAAAUACCACCCUUUAAUGUUUGAUGUUCUAACGUGGACCCGUAAUCCGGGUUGCGGACAGUGUCUGGUGGGUAGUUUGACUGGGGCGGUCUCCUCCUAAAGAGUAACGGAGGAGCACGAAGGUUGGCUAAUCCUGGUCGGACAUCAGGAGGUUAGUGCAAUGGCAUAAGCCAGCUUGACUGCGAGCGUGACGGCGCGAGCAGGUGCGAAAGCAGGUCAUAGUGAUCCGGUGGUUCUGAAUGGAAGGGCCAUCGCUCAACGGAUAAAAGGUACUCCGGGGAUAACAGGCUGAUACCGCCCAAGAGUUCAUAUCGACGGCGGUGUUUGGCACCUCGAUGUCGGCUCAUCACAUCCUGGGGCUGAAGUAGGUCCCAAGGGUAUGGCUGUUCGCCAUUUAAAGUGGUACGCGAGCUGGGUUUAGAACGUCGUGAGACAGUUCGGUCCCUAUCUGCCGUGGGCGCUGGAGAACUGAGGGGGGCUGCUCCUAGUACGAGAGGACCGGAGUGGACGCAUCACUGGUGUUCGGGUUGUCAUGCCAAUGGCACUGCCCGGUAGCUAAAUGCGGAAGAGAUAAGUGCUGAAAGCAUCUAAGCACGAAACUUGCCCCGAGAUGAGUUCUCCCUGAGACUUAGAGUCUCCUGAAGGAACGUUGAAGACGACGACGUUGAUAGGCCGGGUGUGUAAGCGCAGCGAUGCGUUGAGCUAACCGGUACUAAUGAACCGUGAGGCUUAACCUUACAACGCCGAAGCUGUU
rnacentral:rRNA from 1 species